rnacentral:rRNA from 1 species
UAUUAGUAGAGAAGCGUGUGAGCCAGCUGCCAAGAAAAGCCGCUAUUGUUUCAUAAGUACCCGUACCGUAAACCGACACAGGUGGAUGAGGAGAGAAUCCUAAGGCCGGCGGGGGAAGUGUUGUUAAGGAACUCGGCAAAAUGACUCCGUAACUUCGGGAGAAGGAGUGCCACAGAGAUGUGGCCGCAGAGAAAUGGCCCAAGCAACUGUUUAGCAAAAACACAGGUCUAUGCAAAACCGAAAGGUGAGGUAUAUGGGCUGACGCCUGCCCGGUGCUGGAAGGUUAAGAGGAGAGGUUAGAGCAAUCGAAGCUUUGAAUUUAAGCCCCAGUAAACGGCGGCCGUAACUAUAACGGUCCUAAGGUAGCGAAAUUCCUUGUCGGGUAAGUUCCGACCCGCACGAAAGGCGUAAUGAUUUGGGCACUGUCUCAGCAACACACCCGGUGAAAUUGAAAUACCAGUGAAGAUGCUGGUUACCUGCGCCAGGACGGAAAGACCCCAUGGAGCUUUACUCCAGUUUGAUACUGGGAUUCGGUGCUGUCUGUACAGGAUAGGUGGGAGGCUAGGAAAUGGUGACGCCAGUUGCCAUGGAGCCAACCUUGGGAUACCACCCUUACAGUACUGGGUUUCUAACCUGCAGCCGUAACCCGGCUGGGGGACAAUGUCUGACGGGGAGUUGACUGGGGCGUCGCCUCCGAAAGAGUAUCGGAGGCGCUCAAAGGUUCCCUCAGAACGGUUGGAAACCGUUCGAAGAGUGCAAAGGCAGAAGGGAGCUUGACUGCGACACCGACGGGUGGAGCAGAUACGAAAGUAGGACUUAGUGAUCCGGUGGUAUAAAGUGGGAUUGCCAUCGCUCAUCGGAUAAAAGCUACCCUGGGAUAACAGGCUUGUCACUCCCAAGAGUUCACAUCGACGGAGUGGUUUGGCACCUCGAUGUCGGCUCAUCGCAUCCUGGAGCUGUAGCAGGUUCCAAGGGUUGGGCUGUUCGCCCAUUAAAGCGGUACGCGAGCUGGGUUCAGAACGUCGUGAGACAGUUCGGUCCCUAUCCGGCGUGGGCGUAGGAUAUUUGAGAGGAGCUGUCCUUAGUACGAGAGGACCGGGAUGGACAAACCUCUGGUGUAUCUGUUGUUUUACCAAAGGCAUGGCAGAGUAGCCAAGUUUGGCAGGGAUAAACGCUGAAGGCAUCUAAGCGUGAAGCCCCCCUCAAGAUAAGAUAUCCCAUCUUCGGAGUAAGACCCCUUGAAGACUACAAGGUUGAUAGGCUUCAGGUGUAAGUGUGGUAACGCACUCAGCUGAGAAGUACUAAUAGGUCGAGGACUUAUCU